UACGGAGGGAGCUAGCGUUGUUCGGAAUUACUGGGCGUAAAGCGCACGUAGGCGGCUUUUUAAGUCAGGGGUGAAAUCCCGGGGCUCAACCCCGGAACUGCCCUUGAAACUGGAGAGCUAGAAUCUUGGAGAGGCGAGUGGAAUUCCGAGUGUAGAGGUGAAAUUCGUAGAUAUUCGGAAGAACACCAGUGGCGAAGGCGGUCUGCUGGGCAGUUGCUGACACUGAGGCGCGACAGCGUGGGGAGCAAACAGG
rnacentral:rRNA from 1 species